rnacentral:tRNA from 1 species
CAGGAUAUAGCUCAGAGGUAGAGCACUUGCCUAGCAUGUAAGAGACCCUUAGGUUCAAUUGUCAGUACACAGG